rnacentral:rRNA from 1 species
GACGAACGCUGGCGGCGUGCUUAACACAUGCAAGUCGAACGAAGUGGCGAACGGGUGAGUAACGCGUAAUCUACCUGCCCUACAGAGGGGGACAACAGUUGGAAACGACUGCUAAUACCGCAUACUGAAGGAGGGGAUUGCGUCUGAUUUGCUAGUUGGAGGGGUAACGGCCCACCCAGGCGAUGAUCAGUAGCCGGUCUGAGAGGAUGACCGGCCACAUUGGGACUGAGAAACGGCACAGACUCGUUCGGGUGGCAGCAGUGGGGAAUCUUCCGCAAUGGACGAAAGUCUGGCGGAGGAACGCCGCGUGAGUGAGGACGGCCUUCGGGUUGUAAAGCUCUGUUAAGCGGGACGCGGUACCGGAAGAGAAAGCCACGGCUAACUACGUGCCAGCAGCCGCGGUAAUUC